rnacentral:rRNA from 1 species
AGUGAACGCUGGCGGUGGGCCUAACACAUGCAAGUCGAACGGCAGCACAGUAAGAGUUUGCUCUUACGGGUGGCGAGUGGCGGACGGGUGAGGAAUACAUCGGAAUCUACUUUUUCGUGGGGGAUAACGUAGGGAAACUUACGCUAAUACCGCAUACGACCUACGGGUGAAAGCAGGGGAUAUUCGGACCUUGCGCGAUUGAAUGAGCCGAUGUCGGAUUAGCUAGUUGGCGGGGUACAGGCCCACCAAGGCGACGAUUGGUUGCUGGUCUGAGUGGAUGGUCAGCCCCCCUGGAACGGGGACACGGUCCAUGCUCCUACGGUAGGCCGCAGUGUGGAAUGUUGGACAAUGGGCGCAAGCCUUAUCCAGCCGUCCCGCGUGGGUGAAGAAGGCCUUCGGGUUGUAAAGCCCUUUUGUUGGGAAAGAAAAGCAGCAGGUUAAUACCCCGCUGUUCUGACGGUACCCAAAGAAUAAGCACCGGCUAACUUCGUG